GAUGAAGAACGUAGCGAAAUGCGAUAAGUAAUGUGAAUUGCAGAAUUCAGUGAAUCAUCGAAUCUUUGAACGCACAUUGCGCCCGCCAGUAUUCUGGCGGGCAUGCCUGUCCGAGCGCCAUUUCAACCAUCAAGCCCCGGGCUUGUGUUGGGGACCUGCGUCCGACGCAGGCCCUGAAAACCAGUGGCGGGCUCGCUGUCCACACCGAGCGUAGUAACUAACCUCGCUAUGGCGUGGCGCGGGCGCCUGCCGUAAAACCCCCAAUUUCACAAGGUUGACCUCGGAUCAGGUAGGAAUACCCGCUGAACUUAAGCAUAUCAAUAAGCGGAGGA
rnacentral:misc_RNA from 1 species